rnacentral:rRNA from 1 species
GACGAACGCUGGCGGCGUGCCUAAUACAUGCGAGUAGAACGCACAGUUUAUACCGUAGCUUGCUACACCAUAGACUGUGAGUUGCGAACGGGUGAGUAACGCGUAGGUAACCUGCCUGGUAGCGGGUGAUAACUAUUGGAAACGAUAGCUAAUACCGCAUAAUAUUAAUUAUUGCAUGAUAAUUAAUUGAAAGGUGCAAUUGCACCACUACCAGAUGGACCUGCGUUGUAUUAGCUAGUAGGUGAGGUAACGGCUCACCUAGGCGACGAUACAUAGCCGACCUGAGAGGGUGAUCGGCCACACUGGGACUGAGACACGGCCCAGACUCCUACGGGAGGCAGCAGUAGGGAAUCUUCGGCAAUGGACGAAAGUCUGACCGAGCAACGCCGCGUGAGUGAAGAAGGGUUUCGGAUCGUAAAGAUCUGUUGUAAGAGAAGAACGGGUGUGAGAGUGGAAAGUUCACACUGUGACGGUAUCUUAACAGAAAGGGACGGCUAACUACGUG